AGAAAAUCGUCAACGUGUUAACAAGCUGGCAAAAUGGCUUGUGGAAUCUGCUUUGGUUCCUUUGAGAUUUUUUCAGGAGCGAUGUGAGGAAGAGUUUUUGUGGGAGUCUGAGAUGAUCAAGAUAAAGGCUGCAGAUUUGAAGUCGAAAGAGGUCAGGGUAAACACUCGUCUUCUUUAUCAGCAAACAAAGUUUAACCUUCUUCGUGAAGAAAGUGAAGGCUAUGCAAAGCUGGUGACUCUCCUUUGUCAAAUUCCAGAGGAUUCUAGCCAAAAUGCUUCAGCUGCUACAGUUGGCAUA
rnacentral:misc_RNA from 1 species